rnacentral:lncRNA from 10 species
AGGAGACUCUUCUUCUCCAAGGGAAUUUCAGAUGCAGAAACUGAGGCACGGCAGGGUUAUUACUUGCCUAAAGUCACAGCACUUUAAAAUAGUAGAGCUGGGAUUUAAACCAAGGCAGUCUGGCUCUAGAGCCUGCCUGCUUAACUACUAUGAUGGACACAAUAAAAGAAACCAACUGAAUGAAACAAAUCAAGCAAUGACCAGAUGAUGCCAGCUCCUUACAGAAAGACCACCAACC